GAAGUUUAAAAACCCUCUCUCCUAGCCCUCAUUCACAUUAGCUCACUGCUGUUUCUCUUAGCAGACUCAACUCGGCCUCCAUUUUCCUGUGACUCAUCAUCUCACCCACCAAUCAAAUCUUACCCAUUCUGCAACAGUAGACUCUCCAUCGGCCAGAGUCCAAGAUCUAAUCUCCAGGCUCACACUAGAUGACAAGAUGUCCCAGCUCGUUAACACAGCUCCGGUCAUUCUCCGGUCAUUCCAAGAGUUGGCAUCCCCGAGUACGAAUGGUGGUCUGAAGCCCUACAUGGUAUUGCCUUUUUCUCCACCGUACACUCAGGUAUGCGUUUCAACUGAACAAUUCAAUCCGCCACCAGUUUUCCUCAGGUCAUUCUCACUGCUGCUUCCUUCGAUGUUCAUCUUUGGUACCGCAUUGGUCAGGCAAUUGGAAGGGAGGCUAGAACAAUAUACAAUGCCGGACAAGGAACAGGGAUGACGUUUUGGGCGACAAACAUUAAUAUAUUCAGGGACCCGAGGUGGGGAAGAGGGCAAGAAACACCAGGCGAGGAUCCUGUUGUCACGGGGAAAUAUGCAGUCUCAUUCGUGAGAGGGAGACAAGGGGACACUUUUAAAGGAGGGAAACUUGGUGAAGAUCUUCAAGCUUCAGCUUGUUGUAAGCAUUUCACAGCUUAUGAUUUGGAUAACUGGAAAGGAGUGAACCGAUUUGUCUUCACUGCAUAGGUUAGUCAACAGGAUUUAGCAGAUACAUAUAUGUCUCCAUUUCGGAGAUGCAUACAAGAAGGGAAAGCCAGUGGCAUAAUGUGUGCUUAUAAUCUUGUUAAUGGAGUCCCCAAUUGUGCAGACUACAAUCUCUUGUCCGAAACAGCAAGAAGACAGUGGGGUUUAAACGGGUAUAUAACAUCAGACUGUGAUGCUGUCUCCAUCAUUCAUGAGGAACAAGGAUAUGCCAAGUUACCAGAGGAUGCUGUAGCUGAUGUUCUUAAAGCC